AACGAACGCUGGCGGCAGGCUUAACACAUGCAAGUCGAACGCCCCGCAAGGGGAGUGGCAGACGGGUGAGUAACGCGUGGGAAUCUACCUAGUUCUACGGAACAACAGAGGGAACUUCUGCUAAUACCGUAUACGCCCUAAGGGGGAAAGAUUUAUCGGAAUUAGAUGAGCCCGCGUAAGAUUAGCUAGUUGGUGGGGUAAUGGCCUACCAAGGCGACGAUCUUUAGCUGGUCUGAGAGGAUGAUCAGCCACACUGGGACUGAGACACGGCCCAGACUCCUACGGGAGGCAGCAGUGGGGAAUAUUGGACAAUGGGCGCAAGCCUGAUCCAGCCAUGCCGCGUGAGUGAUGAAGGCCUUAGGGUUGUAAAGCUCUUUCAGUGGGGACGAUAAUGACGGUACCCACAGAAGAAGCCCCGGCUAACUUCGUGCCAGCCGCCGCAGUAAGAC
rnacentral:rRNA from 1 species